rnacentral:tRNA from 1 species
AAGAAAUUAGUUAAUUAAAUAAUAUUAACUUGUCAAGUUAAAGUAAUCAUAUUAAUGAUAUUUCUUU